rnacentral:pre_miRNA from 1 species
AGUGGAAUUGCUGGGUCAUAUGAUGAGUAUAUACUUAACUUCAUAUAAGAAACUGCCAAAAUAUUUUCCAAAGUGGCUUUACCAUUUUGUAUUUCCAUCAGCAGU